rnacentral:rRNA from 1 species
CGGACGGGUGAGUAAUGUCUGGGAAACUGCCCGAUGGAGGGGGAUAACUACUGGAAACGGUAGCUAAUACCGCAUAACGUCGCAAGACCAAAGAGGGGGACCUUCGGGCCUCUUGCCAUCGGAUGUGCCCAGAUGGGAUUAGCUAGUAGGUGGGGUAACGGCUCACAUAGGCGACGAUCCCUAGCUGGUCUGAGAGGAUGACCAGCCACACUGGAACUGAGACACGGUCCAG